rnacentral:lncRNA from 1 species
GGCGACUUGGCGGCGGGUGCCAUGCGUCUGGAGCUUCACAUUCUCUGCCCCCCACCCACCGCGCCGGCGCUCCCUUGUCACGCCUCGGGAAGCGCGCACCUGCCAAGCAGGAUGAAUAAUCUGAUAUCAUGUGAAAUGAGGAAAUAAGAAGCUUUCUGCUGACUUCAUUUUGACCCAGGGUCCAAAAGGUGAUGUAAUCCUGUGGCAAGAAGAUUCAAAACUGUGGACUAUCUUGCAAAAAAUACAAGAAGAUAUUGAAAGUUUUCAUGAGUGCCUACCACCUAAUCUCAAACACUAUCAUUCAUAUGUGCCUCAUUGAGCAAAUCUUUAAUGAGGAUCUAUAUGCCAGCAAUAUCUUUUGCUUGGGAGCAGAAACAGAAAGUACAUGAUGGACUUCAUUGAAGGAUGGAGAUUUGGAAGACAUGAAUGGAUGAAGAACCAAGUGCGUGAGGGCACCUAUCAGGAUUAUUGCUGAAAUCCUUAUGGAGUUAACUGGCUGAGAGGAAGGCAAGCAAGCGAGGACUGAUGGGCCCUUGGCACUGUGAGAACAGUGGAGGAGGAGGGAGCAGGGUUCAUAAGGAGGAGCACAAACAGAAAGUUCAGUGGCCCCAAUAAAAAUAACACCAGAAUCUUCCAGAUACUUUCUCCAUAAGGCGAAAAGGUAAAUGCCCCUUUAAAUCAUUAACUAAACUGGCACUUAGAUCUGGGCAGGCUCUCCCAGAUUGGGCUGUUCCGUUUUGCCAGGAAUUGAUAAACUUCUGUGACCCCUCCAGGGUGAGUGAGCAUGAUCCAUCUUCCCUGUCUGGACAAGUUUGAUCCAGCCUCCUUCCUCCUGCUGAAGCAGGCCUGAGGUGUGUGCCAGGAUUCCAUGUCUUAUGCUAAUACUCACAUUCCACAUACCGGCUCUUGCUGGUACUGCCUUUAGGCUUUUAGAAGGCCGUGCUUUUACCCUCCCUGGCUGCACCCCUUACUACAGGGUGAGGAGACUGUGGCACCUAGGGGAUGUGUCCACUCAGAACCACAUUACCACAUUGCUCCCUUCUAGACCACACUCUGGAUAACUUGGACCACCUCAGGAUUCCUUGCUCAAAUGCCCCAAGCCCACUUCCAGGGCCUGCCUAGACUUCUUUUCCAGACCCAUCCUCCCAAGGGCAAACCAUGCCACUAGUGUGUGUGGUCAGCCUGAGAGGUAGCCAAGGAUAGCCUAUUUGCAGAGGCAUGCACAGGGUAUGGAUGCGUGAACUGGGGCAUCUACAUGCAUGCAUGAGAGGGCCUUCUCAUUCAGAGUCAAGGAUGGGAGGAGAGGGGAACGUUUCAGGUUGGGGUCCAGCUCUCUCCAUGCCUCUUUGUCCUGGUGCAGAACUCUAAGGAUUCCAAGCAUUGCACAUUCAAACCUGACCUUCAGGUCUUUUGGAAGUUAGAGUUAUCAAGGUAGGAAAAUGGAACAUAUUUUAUUUAACAGUUUGACUUGACUUAUAA